rnacentral:rRNA from 1 species
GUCGAGCGGAAACGAGUUAUCUGAACCUUCGGGGGACGAUAACGGCGUCGAGCGGCGGACGGGUGAGUAAUGCCUAGGAAAUUGCCCUGAUGUGGGGGAUAACCAUUGGAAACGAUGGCUAAUACCGCAUGAUGCCUACGGGCCAAAGAGGGGGACCUUCGGGCCUCUCGCGUCAGGAUAUGCCUAGGUGGGAUUAGCUAGUUGGUGAGGUAAGGGCUCACCAAGGCAACGAUCCCUAGCUGGUCUGAGAGGAUGAUCAGCCACACUGGAACUGAGACACGGUCCAGACUCCUACGGGAGGCAGCAGUGGGGAAUAUUGCACAAUGGGCGCAAGCCUGAUGCAGCCAUGCCGCGUGUAUGAAGAAGGCCUUCGGGUUGUAAAGUACUUUCAGUCGUGAGGAAGGUAGUGUAUUUAAUAGAUGCAUCAUUUGACGUUAGCGACAGAAGAAGCACCGGCUAACUCCGUGCCAGCAGCCGCGGUAAUACGGAGGGUGCGAGCGUUAAUCGGAAUUACUGGGCGUAAAGCGCAUGCAGGUGGUUUGUUAAGUCAGAUGUGAAAGCCCGGGGCUCAACCUCGGAAUAGCAUUUGAAACUGGCAGACUAGAGUACUGUAGAGGGGGGUAGAAUUUCAGGUGUAGCGGUGAAAUGCGUAGAGAUCUGAAGGAAUACCGGUGGCGAAGGCGGCCCCCCUGGACAGAUACUGACACUCAGAUGCGAAAGCGUGGGGGAGCAAACAGGAUUAGAUACCCUGGUAGUCCACGCCGUAAACGAUGUCUACUUGGAGGUUGUGGCCUUGAGCCCGUGGCUUUCGGAGCUAACGCGUUAAGUAGACCGCCUGGGGGAGUACGGUCGC